rnacentral:rRNA from 1 species
AUGCAGAAGCUCUUCAAGAUGACAGACCUCGGCUUGCUGAGUUACUAUCUUGGUAUAGAAGUGUCCCAAUUCAAGGAGGCAAUCACUUUGAGCCAGCGUGGGUAUGCUGAAAAGAUACUGGAGAUGGCGGGAAUGAGUGAAUGUAACUUGUCUCACACUCCCAUGGAAUGCAGACUGAAGUUGAAAAAGGAAGAUGAAGGGAAAUCUGUUGAUCCUUCACUCUACCACAGCGUGAUUGGAAGCUUGAGGUACUUGGUUCAUAUGAUACCAGACAUCACACAUGCUUUGGGUAUUGUCAGUAGGUUCAUGGAGAAGCCGACCAAGACACACUGGGCAGCAGUCAAGUAG